rnacentral:rRNA from 1 species
CCUACGGGUGGCAGCAGUGGGGAAUAUUGGACAAUGGGGGCAACCCUGAUCCAGCCAUGCCGCGUGUGUGAAGAAGGCCCUCGGGUUGUAAAGCACUUUCAGUGAGGAAGAACGCCUGGUGGUUAAUACCCAUCAGGAAAGACAUCACUCACAGAAGAAGCACCGGCUAACUCCGUGCCAGCAGCCGCGGUAAUACGGAGGGUGCGAGCGUUAAUCGGAAUUACUGGGCGUAAAGCGCGCGUAGGUGGCUUGAUAAGCCGGUUGUGAAAGCCCCGGGCUCAACCUGGGAACGGCAUCCGGAACUGUCAAGCUAGAGUGCAGGAGAGGAAGGUAGAAUUCCCGGUGUAGCGGUGAAAUGCGUAGAGAUCGGGAGGAAUACCAGUGGCGAAGGCGGCCUUCUGGACUGACACUGACACUGAGGUGCGAAAGCGUGGGUAGCAAACAGGAUUAGAUACCCUUGUAGGC